rnacentral:rRNA from 1 species
GACGAACGCUGGCGGCGUGCCUAACACAUGCAAGUCGAACGGAGAGGCUAAGAACAAGACUUCGGUCAAGUGAUUAGUUUUCUUAGUGGCGGACGGGUGAGUAACGCGUGAGCAAUCUGCCUUUCAGAGGGGGAUAACGUUCUGAAGAGAACGCUAAUACCGCAUAAUGUACCGGGAUGGCAUCUUCCUGGUACCAAAGGAGCAAUCCGCUGAAAGAUGAGCUCGCGUCUGAUUAGAUAGUUGGUGGGGUAACGGCCUACCAAGGCGACGAUCAGUAGCCGACCUGAGAGGGUGACCGGCCACAUUGGGACUGAGACACGGCCCAAACUCCUACGGGAGGCAGCAGUGGGGAAUAUUGCACAAUGGGGGAAACCCUGAUGCAGCAACGCCGCGUGAGGGAAGAAGGGUUUCGGCUCGUAAAACCUCUGUCCUAUGGGACGAAGAAGUGACGGUACCAUAGGAGGAAGCCCCCGGCUAACUACGUG